GCCCGGGUGGUGGAAUUGGUAGACACGCAGGACUUAAAAUCCUGUUCCUUUACCGGAGUGCGGGUUCGAUUCCCGCCCCGGGCACCA
rnacentral:tRNA from 1 species